rnacentral:lncRNA from 1 species
GUCUGUAAUGAGCUGAAGUUGGAACUCCUAAGGAGAGUAAAAGAAUUUUUUAGGUACAAGAAAACAAAAAAAGAGGAAUUAAACCUUUUGAGAGAAACCUGAUAUCUCCCCCUAAACCCCCUCCUCCCUCCCCUUGACCCUUCCUCUUCCCUAUGGCCUCCCUUGUAGUUUAAUGGCAUCCUUUUCUAGUUUCUAUGUUCAAUUAUCUCAGUAAAUCUUAACAAAGCUAUUUGUGUGUGUGUGUGUAUGUGGAUCUAAAAUCCCCAUUUUACAGAUGAGGAAAGUAAGGUUUACUUUUGUAUAUCUGGUCAAUAGCAGAGCUGAAAUUUGUACUUCAAACUUCUGAUGUCCAUUAUCCACCCUCCACCAGUUUUCUCAGCUCCACUCGACUUGCAUGCACCUUUACAUCUGUGCUUUUAUGACUUUUGUAAACUUUCAAAGCUGCCAUGGAUUUUUAGUGGCAUGAAAAGACUUGGAAGUUAUGAGAGGUUACUAUUCUGGGAAUAGCAAAGAAAUGACAUUAUACAGGGCAUCCACAUUGAAAACUCUAAGGAUCUCUGAAUUUUAACAAUAACAAA